ACCCCAUCUGGUAUGAGACUUUUCAGUCCAGUACGACUGAGGACACAUCGACGACAGAGUUUGCAACCGAUUAUCUGAAGGAACACGUUGUGAGACCAUCAAUGUUAAGAUUCUUGAAGAUGGAGUUGAUCAAUAUUGACUACGGAUGACACUCAUACAAGAUACUUUGUUGAUUUGUCAUUGUUAGAUUUAAAUAUGAAAAUUUUGGUUUCAAGAGCAUGAAUGCAACCUUUUUAU
rnacentral:lncRNA from 1 species